UACGUAUGGUGCGAGCGUUGUCCGGAUUUACUGGGCGUGAAGGGGGCGCAGGCGGCGCGCCAAGCCCGAUGUGAAAGCCCGGGGCUCAACCCCGGGACUGCAUUGGGAACUGGCGUGCUGGAGUGCCGGAGGGGCAGGCGGAAUUCCUGGUGUAGCGGUGAAAUGCGUAGAUAUCAGGAGGAACACCGGUGGCGAAGGCGACCUGCUGGACGGAUACUGACGCUGAGGCCCGAAAGCGUGGGGAGCGAACAGG
rnacentral:rRNA from 1 species